CGUAACUACUGCCGUCCGUGUAAUACUGAAAUCGGGGUUCUGGAUGGGAAAAUCAUGAAGGUCCGGUCUACUUGAGAACACUUCAUCCAUUACCUCCAGGAAAUCGUGUCGACUCUCAGUAGGUUGCGGCAAGAGGGUAGCUGGGUUCAAGGUAUUUACAGUCUCAAGAUGCACUCUCGGGUUCUCGCAUAACAUGGCUUGAUACUUAGUCAUGCAGCUAUUGCUAAACCA